UACCAGCUCUCCGAGUGGUAGGGAUGAUUAUUGGGCUUAAAGCGUCCGUAGCCGGCUUAGCAAGUUUCCUGUUAAAUUCAGCGACCUAAUCGUUGAGCCGCGGGAAAUAGUACUAGGCUAGGAGGCGGGAGAGGUCGACGGUACUUCUGGGGUAGGGGUGAAAUCCUAUAAUCCCGGGAGGACCACCAGUGGCGAAGGCUGUCGACUAGAACGCGCUCGACGGUAAGGGACGAAAGCUGGGGGAGCGAACCGGAUUAGAUACCCGGGUAGUCCCAGCUGUAAACGAUGCGGGCUAGGUGUUGGGGUGGCUACGUGCCACUUCAGUGCCGCAGGGAAGCCAUUAAGCCCGCGCCUGGGGAGUACGGCCGCAAGGCUGAAACUUAAAGGAAUUGGCGGGGGAGCACCACAAGGCGUGAAGCUUGGGGUUC
rnacentral:rRNA from 1 species